AGAAUCAACGCUGGCGGCGUGCCUCAGACAUGCAAGUCGAACGCGAAAGUUUCCUUCGGGAGGCGAGUAGAGUGGCGCACGGGUGAGUAACACGUAGGUAAUCUACCUUUGGAUGGGGAAUAACAACCGGAAACGGUUGCUAAUACCGCAUAAUGCAGCGGCACCUAAUGGUGACAGUUGUUAAAGCGGGGGAUCGAGAGACCCUCGCGUCUGAAGAGGAGCCUGCGGCGGAUUAGCUAGUUGGUAAGGUAAUGGCUUACCAAGGCUACGA
rnacentral:rRNA from 1 species